AAACUUGACUUUGGGCUAUAAGUUUAAUCAUAGGAUUUUGAUCCAGAGUUCAAUUAAAGCGUAAGUUCUAAAAAGUUUCUAAAGUACUUAAGAGUGCUAACACCAAUUAAAGUUUUUCUAGAGAACUAUAUCUUAAUAUCUAUAUAAAAAAAAAAUAAAAGAUUUGUAAGAUAAAAAGUUUAGCUUACGUAGCGGAAUAUUUUCUAGAGAUUAUGAUAUAAUAAAUAAGAUAUUUUCUAAUUUUGGAACAUAUAGCUAGUUCUUCUUUCUUUCCUUUUCUAACAAAAUCAAACAAGUUAAAUAAAAAGAUAUAAAAUUGUUCUUUAAAUUCCUUUAAACUCGGUGUAUUUGAAUCUAGACUUCUAUUUUGGAGAUUACUAGUUAAAGCCGCUGAGAGAGGAAAAUUUCACUGUUUUCCAUGGAUUUUAUGGUUUUUAUGGAAAACCAGGAAUGAAAAGGUAUUUUAAGGUAUAUAAUCUGAACCAAUAGAUAUAAUAGAUCACGCUUUAAGUGAACAAUUAAUCUGUGAAGAAACUCAAUUGAUUCCGAUCGAAUCAGUUGAAAAUAGAGAAACAUUCAACAAUUAUACUCAAAUUCUAAUAUGUCGGAUUGACAUUUCGUGGAAACAAUUGGAUCCUACCAUAAGUUUAGGAUGGUGGUGCUUUCGGAGAGACCAUCUUACAAUUCUAUUAGGAGCAAAAUGUCACCGGACGAGCUCAUCUCUUCUUCACGCGUAAACAGAAGCUCUUUUAUGCGGUAUGAAAAUGAUCCUCUUCAAAAGGAUUGAUUGUCAGAUAUUCAAGAUAGAUAGUACAAAACUAGUUUUGAUGGUGCAGGCGCCGGAGGAGUGGCCCAUUCCAAUCAGAUAGACGAAAUUGGUUUGCUUCGUGAUUCAUUUCCUUCUUUCUUGCUUUCUAAUAUUCCUCGCUCAUGUAAUGUGAUAUAUCAUGGAUUUUACCGUUUUUAUCCAUGAUAUAUAUGUCAAUUUUAGAGUUUUUUUGUUAUUUCUAGAGUCUUUUCUAGUCCUUUUCAGGUCUUUACACUAGGCCUGGGAAUUCGAACCGUUCGGUUUAUUCGGUUUCGGUUACUCAGUUUUUCGGUUUUUUUGGAAGAUGAAAGCUAUUCCGAAAUUAACCAAUUAAGAUUUCGGUUCGGUUCGGUUCGGUUCGGACACAGUUUAUUUCGGUUUUUGAAUUCGGUUAUUUCGGUUAAAAGAAUUUGGGCCAAAUAGUCUAUAAUGGGCCAAAUAAUUUUUAAUGGGCCAAUCCAAAACAAAAAAAAAGGUUUAAAAAAAAUGUAUUGAAAAAAAAAAAGACGAAGAAGAUGAAUCGAGGAGGAGAUGCCAGCGGCUGAGAUCUCCUGAAGCUCGCGGUGUAAUCGGCGAAGCAGAUGAUUGAAGAAAAACAGGAGAAAAGAAGUGUAAAUCAAAGAAGAACAUGAUGAUGACGAAACAGAGAAGAAGAUGAUGAUGAUGAAUGGUGAAUUGAAGAAGCAGCAAACAAAUCAGAGAAGAAGAAGAUGAUGGUGAUGAUGAAUCGAAGAAGAAGAGAGAGGGUUAUGGAAAGAGAAGAUCAAGAACAAAAUAAUUGAAGAAGAACUCAAGAAGCGUAGGCGGCUGGGAUAUUAAGGUUAGGGUUUUUGGUUUCUUUGGUUAAACCGAAAAUUUUGGUUAACCGAAUCAAAAUUUAAACAUUCUGACCGGUUUUACUCAAUUAACAAGAACCGACCGAUUUGUCCAAAUCUCGGUUCGGACAAAUCGGUUUGGUUCGGUUCGAAUUCCCAGGCCUACUUUACACGUUCAGAACCAAUUUGGAGAUUAUGGAUCAUUCUGGAGCAAAACCGAGAAGUUAUGCCACAAGAGCAAUCCGGAGACCAAAUACGUGCAAAUGUCGAUCGACACCACCCCUACUAUUGGUCGACACCAACAUCUGACGGCAAUUCGAUUUCGAGUCUCUUUGAAGUUAUGAAGAUUUGCAGAAUCUCCCCAGAACAUUUCUCUAUUUACAAAGAAGUCUCUGCACGUUUUUAAGAACAUAUAAAUAGAUUUUUAGGAUUUUGUUUUAGAGACAUCUCUCAAUCUCUUAUUCUGUUGUAUUCUUUGGAACUUGAACUCUUUGAGAGAUAAUUGGAGAGAGCUCCUCCAGAGAAGAUCUUUCUUAACUCUAUUUUCUUCUUUGUUUUCUUAAUGCAAUUCUAUUCAAUCAUUUUGUUUGUUUCAAUCUUCAUGUCUGAGUAGUUUGCUUGUUAGGUUUAGGGAUUCUCAUUAGGGAUUUAAUUAGAUGAAUUAGUAGAUCGAUUACAUGUUAGGAUUAAUCUUUAGAGUUCUUCACUUUAUGUUGUUCUUAAUGCUAGUUCUAGAGUAGCUAACUAGAACUUGAUCAUAGGAUAAUAGGUAGAUUCAAGAGGUCACCUGUUACUGGAACUAUAUUAGGUGGGCAAAAAUUAGAUACAUUCGAGAGGUGGUCUAGGAAUAUCUGUGAACAUAUCAAACCUGUUAUUAAUGCUAGUCUAAUUCUAGGAGUUUACAUUCGAGAGGUGGAACUUUCUGAUAUUAGGUUUAGUUAGUCAAUACAUUCGAGAGGUGAUUGACUAUACAUUAGUGAUUUGAGUUCUAGAACAGUUCGAUAAAUAAUCCUAAUUAAUUUGUUAGAUUUACUAUUAGUCUAUUUCCUGAGAAAUCCCUAAAGCUGACGUUUUCCUCAUCUGAUUUAAAACCCGAUUUACUUGCUUUGCUUUUAUUUGAUAUUCUUAUUUUUUGUUUAGCUUAAUUCAAAACAUGUUAGUCUAUUGUGUGAACACGAGAGCUUUGUGGAAUUCGACCCUGAAGUGCUACACACGAUCUCUUAUUUGAGAGAGUAGUCUUAGGUCUAAUUUGACUCACAUCAUAAUGAUAAGACAUAUUGCCUAGCUAGUUACUCUAGAAGUUUAUUUUCUAAAAUUUCAUCUGUAAACACUUUUCCUCCAGAUUGAGCAACCAAUCGUGGAAUGACUUUUUAAAUAAUGUAUGGUUGACAAAAAAAAAAUCUCUUAAGUUUCUUUUUAUUUUAUUUUUCUUCAUACUAAGAAACUUAUUCUCUUGAUUUUUUCAGACAUUAUUACAAUUUUGGAAUAAUGCUAAGUCACUAUCAAAGUUUAUAUACACCUAGGGCCUCCAUAGUCGUGAUCAAACGGACAUAUGAGUCUUCUAUGGGGCUCCCCGUCGGAUACUGACUAUUUCCCAUCGGAGGAUUUGGAGGCGAAGGGCUAUAGACUUCACCACCCCAUUCGACCCUUGUACCAGAACUUUCUUUGAAUCUGCUUGAUGGCCAGAACCCAAUUUCUUCCAAGGAGGUGCCCAUCAACAGCCACCAAUUCCCGUUGAUUUUGUCCUGUACCCAAACUUUAAAUUAUAGCAAAAAAAAAUUUGGGGAACCGCGAUAAUCCAUAUCUGAUCUCAUUUUUGUUAAACUAUAAUUGACAAAAAUUUUCAUUGAA